CCGCAUCACAUUUUUCUUUAGUUCGGUUCCCAGAGAGUUGCUUACGUGCGAAUGGUAUGCACGCAUAAGCGUUUUAGAGUGCCGUGGCCUCUCUUUCGUCGUGACGGAAAACGUGCGAAAUCCGGGAACUUUUUAUAUUGUUUCCUUCCCAAUAUAGUGAUUCGACGACGGCGCCAAAAAGUUGGUUCUUCGGAUUCGAAUCGUAUCAAGAAUAUAGUGAUGACAGCAAAUUCAGUGCGGAAGAACAAAAGUUGACAAGAUGGAAGAUUAUAUCGCUUUAUACUAAACUCAGUUUUGAUGAGGUAUUGUAAAGAUGAUGGAGAUGCUAACCGAACAGUCAACAGGUUAAAAAGUGCACAGUUUGUCAGUUUGUCUGACUAAAUUUGUAACCCGGAUAAUAUUCGAUACUAUUCCAUCAUCGUCGUUCGAUAGGCUCUAAUGGCAAGAAGGUUCAUAUGAGGCAAAGAACCUAGGCUACUUCUUCAUUCAAAAUGGUUUUCGAAACAACCGGCAAAUUCUAAUUGGUCGUCGGAGAUGACGACCGAUGACGACGCCCACGAAAAAAUCAUGAUGGAGGCAGUCGUUAAUUGAUUUCUGUCCCACCGGAGCGCCAAAAGGUGCUACCCAUUUCCGAAUAUUAUUCCCACGAUGGCGACCAUAAUAGAAAAGUGAGCGGAUCGGCCGAGGGAUUCCCUGAACGCAGCAGCACGAAUUUUGUUUUAAACUUCGAACAAGAAAAGACAACUAUGGAUGGACGCAAAGUCUAGAGCACACACAAGCGCAACGGUAAGAACACGUAAGACCCGAAAUGAAGUGCAAGAUAACAUAAGAAAACGGAUUGACCGCCAUCAUCGUUGACGAACGUGAGAUCAACGGAGACGACGAGAUGCAUAUGCGGUAUAUGUUCUUAUAUUAUUUGGCACCUUUAAUUCUAGAUAUAUAAUUUUAUGCUCAAAAGAAAAUCACUUAUGGCAACUCGUCGCCAAUCACGUCUUCAAGAGGCUGGAAAUGCGCACAUAACAACGCUUGAAUAAUGACUCAUCACAAUCCGCUUAAAAGUUUCUGUAUCAGUUGUUGUGAAAAUCUGACGCCUGAUGAUAUUGCGGACUGGGAGCAGCAAGCCCAUCAGAAAAACUGGAAUAUUAAAUUUCGUUAUUCAGGACCUUGAUACAUGAAGCUGAGUAGCUUAUUCUGGUUUGUUUCUCUUUGAUGUUGCUGUUCAUUUCGUUUCAAUCAAUUCUGAUUCUGUCGAAUAUAUUUCCUGCUUGCUGAAUAAUUCGCCCAAUAAUUUGCAAGUUACUUAGUUAAAUACACAGAAGAUCAUAUACUUGGUAUGCGUGUAUUAGCAUACGAAGGAAUAAAGAUUUUUUUUAAAUUUG